rnacentral:rRNA from 1 species
GCCAGACUCCUACGGGAGGCAGCAGUGGGGGAUAUUGCACAAUGGGGGAAACCCUGAUGCAGCGACGCCGCGUGAGUGAAGAAGCAUUUCGGUGUGUAAAGCUCUAUCAGCAGGGAAGAAGAAUGACGGUACCUGACUAAGAAGCCCCGGCUAACUACGUGCCAGCAGCCGCGGUAAUACGUAGGGGGCAAGCGUUAUCCGGAUUUACUGGGUGUAAAGGGGGCGCAGACGGCGAUGCAAGCCAGGAGUGAAAGCCCGGGGCCCAACCCCGGGACUGCUCUUGGAACUGCGUGGCUGGAGUGCAGGAGGGGCAGGCGGAAUUCCUGGUGUAGCGGUGAAAUGCGUAGAUAUCAGGAGGAACACCGGUGGCGAAGGCGGCCUGCUGGACUGCAACUGACGUUGAGGCCCGAAAGCGUGGGGAGCAAACAGGAUUAGAUACCCCAGUA